rnacentral:rRNA from 1 species
CCUACGGGAGGCUGCAGUGAGGAAUAUUGGUCAAUGGGCGCAAGCCUGAACCAGCCAUCCCGCGUGAAGGAAGAAGGCGCUAUGCGUCGUAAACUUCUUUUCCGGAGGAAUAAAAUUUCGUACGUGUACGGGACUGAAGGUACUCUGGGAAUAAGCAUCGGCUAACUCCGUGCCAGCAGCCGCGGUAAUACGGAGGAUGCGAGCGUUAUCGGGAUUAAUGGGGUUUAAGGCGGACAUAUACGUAAGAGGUGAAAACCUUCAGCUUAACUGGAGACUUGCCAUUGAUACUGUUAUUCUUGAGUAUAGUUAAGGUAGGCGGAAUGUGUAAUGUAGCGGUGAAAUGCUUAGAUAUUACACAGAACACCAAUUGCGAAGGCAGCUUACUGAGCUAUAACUGACGCUGAUGCACGAAAGCGUGGGGAGCGAACAGGAUUAGAUACCCUGGUAGUC